AAUGAGUGUGAGCUCGUGAGUGGGCGCCGCCACCACCGCCCCCGCCGCCGUCGUCUCGGUAGCAGCCUUCGCCACGCCGGGGUCUUCAGCUCCACCGGGGCCAUGUCAGAGCGAGAAGAGCGGCGGUUUGUGGAGAUCCCUCGGGAGUCUGUCCGGCUCAUGGCGGAGAGCACGGGCCUGGAGCUGAGCGAUGAGGUGGCGGCGCUGCUCGCAGAGGACGUGUGUUAUCGUCUGAGAGAGGCCACGCAGAAUAGCUCUCAGUUCAUGAAGCACACCAAACGCCGGAAGCUGACGGUUGAGGACUUCAACAGGGCCCUCAGAUGGAGCAGCGUGGAGGCUGUGUGUGGUUACGGAUCCCAGGAGGCACUGCCCAUGCGCCCCGCCAGGGAGGGUGAACUCUACUUUCCUGAGGAUCGAGAGGUGAACCUGGUGGAGCUGGCCCUGGCUACCAACAUCCCCAAAGGCUGUGCUGAGACAGCUGUCAGAGUUCAUGUCUCCUACCUGGAUGGCAAAGGGAACCUGGCACCUCAAGGAUCGGUGCCCAGUGCUGUGUCUUCACUGACAGAUGACCUUCUCAAGUACUAUCACCAGGUGACUCGUGCUGUGCUAGGGGAUGAUCCGCAACUGAUGAAGGUUGCACUCCAGGACUUGCAGACGAACUCCAAGAUUGGGGCGCUCCUGCCUUACUUUGUUUAUGUGGUCAGUGGGGUGAAAUCUGUAAGCCAUGACCUGGAGCAACUGCACCGGCUGCUGCAGGUGGCACGGAGCCUGUUUCGUAAUCCACACCUGUGCUUGGGGCCCUAUGUCCGCUGUCUGGUGGGCAGUGUCCUCUACUGUGUCCUGGAGCCACUGGCUGCCUCCAUCAACCCCCUAAAUGACCACUGGACUCUGCGGGAUGGGGCUGCCCUCCUGCUCAGCCACAUCUUCUGGUAGCCACUGGGCCUAAACCUGAGGGUGGGAUUGCUGCAGAACCAAGUGGGUUGGGGUAAGGAAAUGGGGCGAAGCCUCUGGCUUUGAGGGUCUAUGAGAAAAUGGGGAACCUUUUCCCUAGGAGCAUCCUA
rnacentral:sRNA from 1 species